rnacentral:rRNA from 1 species
AGCAGCCGCGGUAAUUCCAGCUCCAAUAGCGUAUAUUAAAGUUGUUGCAGUUAAAAAGCUCGUAGUUGAAUUUCGGGAUCAAAGAAUCGGUCAUGCCUUGGUAUGUACUGGUUUUAUUGGUUCUCACCUUCUAAAGAACCAUGAUGUCAUUCAUUUGAUGUUAUGGGGAAUUAGGACUGUUACCUUAGAAAAAAUUAGAGUGUUUAAAGCAAGCUUACGCUUGAAUACAUUAGCAUGGAAUAAUGAAAUAGGACAUCAGAUUCUAUUUUGUUGGUUUCUAGGAUCGAUGUAAUGAUUAAUAGGGAUAGUUGGGGGGCAUUAGUAUUCAAUUGUCAGAGGUGAAAUUCUUGGAUUUAUUGAAGACUAACUACUGCGAAAGCAUUUGCCAAGGAUGUUUUCAUUAAUCAAGACGAAAGUUAGGGGAUCGAAGACGAUCAGAUACCGUCGUAG